GGUUAAGCGACUAAGCGUACACGGUGGAUGCCCUGGCAGUCAGAGGCGAUGAAGGACGUGCUAAUCUGCGAUAAGCGUCGGUAAGGUGAUAUGAACCGUUAUAACCGGCGAUUUCCGAAUGGGGAAACCCAGUGUGUUUCGACACACUAUCAUUAACUGAAUCCAUAGGUUAAUGAGGCGAACCGGGGGAACUGAAACAUCUAAGUACCCCGAGGAAAAGAAAUCAACCGAGAUUCCCCCAGUAGCGGCGAGCGAACGGGGAGGAGCCCAGAGCCUGAAUCAGUGUGUGUGUUAGUGGAAGCGUCUGGAAAGGCGCGCGAUACAGGGUGACAGCCCCGUACACAAAAAUGCACAUACUGUGAGCUCGAUGAGUAGGGCGGGACACGUGGUAUCCUGUCUGAAUAUGGGGGGACCAUCCUCCAAGGCUAAAUACUCCUGACUGACCGAUAGUGAACCAGUACCGUGAGGGAAAGGCGAAAAGAACCCCGGCGAGGGGAGUGAAAAAGAACCUGAAACCGUGUACGUACAAGCAGUGGGAGCACGCUUCGGCGUGUGACUGCGUACCUUUUGUAUAAUGGGUCAGCGACUUAUAUUCUGUAGCAAGGUUAACCGAAUAGGGGAGCCAAAGGGAAACCGAGUCUUAACUGGGCGUUAAGUUGCAGGGUAUAGACCCGAAACCCGGUGAUCUAGCCAUGGGCAGGUUGAAGGUUGGGUAACACUAACUGGAGGACCGAACCGACUAAUGUUGAAAAAUUAGCGGAUGACUUGUGGCUGGGGGUGAAAGGCCAAUCAAACCGGGAGAUAGCUGGUUCUCCCCGAAAGCUAUUUAGGUAGCGCCUCGUGAAUUCAUCUCCGGGGGUAGAGCACUGUUUCGGCAAGGGGGUCAUCCCGACUUACCAACCCGAUGCAAACUGCGAAUACCGGAGAAUGUUAUCACGGGAGACACACGGCGGGUGCUAACGUCCGUCGUGAAGAGGGAAACAACCCAGACCGCCAGCUAAGGUCCCAAAGUCAUGGUUAAGUGGGAAACGAUGUGGGAAGGCCCAGACAGCCAGGAUGUUGGCUUAGAAGCAGCCAUCAUUUAAAGAAAGCGUAAUAGCUCACUGGUCGAGUCGGCCUGCGCGGAAGAUGUAACGGGGCUAAACCAUGCACCGAAGCUGCGGCAGCGACACUAUGUGUUGUUGGGUAGGGGAGCGUUCUGUAAGCCUGUGAAGGUGUGCUUUGAGGCAUGCUGGAGGUAUCAGAAGUGCGAAUGCUGACAUAAGUAACGAUAAAGCGGGUGAAAAGCCCGCUCGCCGGAAGACCAAGGGUUCCUGUCCAACGUUAAUCGGGGCAGGGUGAGUCGACCCCUAAGGCGAGGCCGAAAGGCGUAGUCGAUGGGAAACAGGUUAAUAUUCCUGUACUUGGUGUUACUGCGAAGGGGGGACGGAGAAGGCUAUGUUGGGCGGGCGACGGUUGUCCCGGUUUAAGCGUGUAGGCUGGUUUUCCAGGCAAAUCCGGAAAAUCAAGGCUGAGGCGUGAUGACGAGGCACUACGGUGCUGAAGCAACAAAUGCCCUGCUUCCAGGAAAAGCCUCUAAGCAUCAGGUAACAUCAAAUCGUACCCCAAACCGACACAGGUGGUCAGGUAGAGAAUACCAAGGCGCUUGAGAGAACUCGGGUGAAGGAACUAGGCAAAAUGGUGCCGUAACUUCGGGAGAAGGCACGCUGAUAUGUAGGUGAAGUCCCUCGCGGAUGGAGCUGAAAUCAGUCGAAGAUACCAGCUGGCUGCAACUGUUUAUUAAAAACACAGCACUGUGCAAACACGAAAGUGGACGUAUACGGUGUGACGCCUGCCCGGUGCCGGAAGGUUAAUUGAUGGGGUUAGCGGUAACGCGAAGCUCUUGAUCGAAGCCCCGGUAAACGGCGGCCGUAACUAUAACGGUCCUAAGGUAGCGAAAUUCCUUGUCGGGUAAGUUCCGACCUGCACGAAUGGCGUAAUGAUGGCCAGGCUGUCUCCACCCGAGACUCAGUGAAAUUGAACUCGCUGUGAAGAUGCAGUGUACCCGCGGCAAGACGGAAAGACCCCGUGAACCUUUACUAUAGCUUGACACUGAACAUUGAGCCUUGAUGUGUAGGAUAGGUGGGAGGCUUUGAAGUGUGGACGCCAGUCUGCAUGGAGCCGACCUUGAAAUACCACCCUUUAAUGUUUGAUGUUCUAACGUUGACCCGUUAUCCGGGUUGCGGACAGUGUCUGGUGGGUAGUUUGACUGGGGCGGUCUCCUCCUAAAGAGUAACGGAGGAGCACGAAGGUUGGCUAAUCCUGGUCGGACAUCAGGAGGUUAGUGCAAUGGCAUAAGCCAGCUUGACUGCGAGCGUGACGGCGCGAGCAGGUGCGAAAGCAGGUCAUAGUGAUCCGGUGGUUCUGAAUGGAAGGGCCAUCGCUCAACGGAUAAAAGGUACUCCGGGGAUAACAGGCUGAUACCGCCCAAGAGUUCAUAUCGACGGCGGUGUUUGGCACCUCGAUGUCGGCUCAUCACAUCCUGGGGCUGAAGUAGGUCCCAAGGGUAUGGCUGUUCGCCAUUUAAAGUGGUACGCGAGCUGGGUUUAGAACGUCGUGAGACAGUUCGGUCCCUAUCUGCCGUGGGCGCUGGAGAACUGAGGGGGGCUGCUCCUAGUACGAGAGGACCGGAGUGGACGCAUCACUGGUGUUCGGGUUGUCAUGCCAAUGGCACUGCCCGGUAGCUAAAUGCGGAAGAGAUAAGUGCUGAAAGCAUCUAAGCACGAAACUUGCCCCGAGAUGAGUUCUCCCUGACUCCUUGAGAGUCCUGAAGGAACGUUGAAGACGACGACGUUGAUAGGCCGGGUGUGUAAGCGCAGCGAUGCGUUGAGCUAACCGGUACUAAUGAGCCGUGAGGCUUAACCUU
rnacentral:rRNA from 1 species